UCUGAUUUGUUGUAAUUGCAAGGUAGUUUUUCGUGCUAUUAGUGGGGAGCAACACCACACCCCAAUCAGAA
rnacentral:tRNA from 1 species